rnacentral:rRNA from 1 species
ACACGACUACAUUAGACUACCCGGUAGUCCUAGCCGUAAACGAUACUCGCUAGGUGUCGGCCACGGUGCGACCGUUGUCGGUGCCGUAGGGAAGCCGUGAAGCGAGCCACCUGGGAAGUACGGCCGCAAGGCUGAAACUUAAAGGAAUUGGCGGGGGAGCACAACAACGGGUGGAGCUUGCGGUUUAAUUGGAUUCAACGCCAGAAAUCUUACCGGGACCGACAGCAACAUGAAGGCCAAGCUGAAGACUUUGCCGGAUUAGCUG